rnacentral:rRNA from 1 species
UCCAGACUCCUACGGGAGGCAGCAGUGAGGAAUAUUGGUCAAUGGACGGAAGUCUGAACCAGCCACGCCGCGUGCAGGAAGACGGCUCUAUGAGUUGUAAACUGCUUUUGUACAAGGGUAAACCUGAAUACGUGUAUUCAGCUGAAAGUACUGUACGAAUAAGGAUCGGCUAACUCCGUGCCAGCAGCCGCGGUAAUACGGAGGAUCCAAGCGUUAUCCGGAUUUAUUGGGUUUAAAGGGUGCGUAGGCGUAUUGAUAAGUUAGAGGUGAAAUGUCGGGGCUCAACCCCGAAACUGCCUCUAAUACUGUUGGACUAGAGAAUAGUUGCGGUAGGCGGAAUGUAUGGUGUAGCGGUGAAAUGCGUAGAUAUCAGGAGGAACACCGGUGGCGAAGGCGGCCUGCUGGACUGCAACUGACGUUGAGGCCCGAAAGCGUGGGGAGCAAACAGGAUUAGAUACCCUCGUAA